ACAGUGCAGCUCAAGGGCAUGGUGCUGAAGCUGUCGGGCACGCAGAGGCAGGGGGUGCCGAAGCGGGGCGGCUCGCCGCCGCCGAGGGGCCGGACCACGUCCCUCUACCGGAGUGGGUACUACUGGCCGGGCGUGGUGCAGGACGACAUGGCGGUGCCGCCGGCCGCGUACCUGGGCCACGGCGCCGGGGGCGGCGGCGGCACGGCGGCGUCGAGCGCGAGCUCCACGCCGGCGUGGGAGCGGCCGCCCAACGGCGGCGAGGCGGCGGUGAGGGAGUGGGUGGCGCAGGUGGAGCCCGGGGUGCAGAUCAUGUUCGUGUCGCUGGCGGGUGGCGCCGACAACGACCUGAAGCGCAUCCGGUUCAGCCGGGAGAUGUCCGACAAGUGGCAGGCGCAGCGGUGGUGGGGCGACAACAACGAGCGCAUCAUGGAGCUCUACAACGUCCGCCGCUUCACUCGCCAGGUGCUCCCCGACCCGCCCCGCGGCGACGACGCCGCCGAGUCACCCGCUCUCGGUGCGCCGACGAUGGCACGGCGUUUUUCAAAGCUGAAGGAUUUGCUUGUGUGUCAGCAGCGGGAGUCGUUCUACUCGCAGUCGCAGGUGGGCUCGACCAUGGGCAGCCCGGCGGCGACGCUGUCGCCGGCGCCGGAGAGCAUCGCCUGGGGCGCGGCCUUCGCCCGCCCGCAGCCCUCCGCCGCGCCCCUGGCCAAGCAGUUAAACUCGGGUGAAUUGUGA
rnacentral:rRNA from 1 species